UACGGAGGGUGCAAACGUUGCUCGGAAUCAUUGGGCGUAAAGCGCACGUAGGCGGACUGCUAAGUCGGACGUGAAAUCCCUCAGCUUAACUGAGGAAGUGCAUUCGAAACUAGCAGUCUUGAGUACAGGAGAGGGUCGCGGAAUUCCCGGUGUAGAGGUGAAAUUCGUAGAUAUCGGGAGGAACACCAGUGGCGAAGGCGGCGGCCUGGACCAAUACUGACGCUCAUGUGCGAAAGCGUGGGGAGCAAACAGG
rnacentral:rRNA from 1 species